UGUAUUCGUUGCAAAUAUGUAGUACUCUGAACUGGGCAAAUUGCGAAGUUCGAGAGUGGAAUUGACAAUUGGAGUUAACCCACAUCUUUUAAAGAGUGGUAGUGAAGUUUUUGAUAAGCCAUAUGAGUGAUUGGACUGCCGGAAGUAGGAAAGUGCAUUGCAAAAUACACUUUUCUGCAUUCUGCACUAGGUACCGGUACCAGAUCGGGUACCGGUAUCAAAUGCAAACUGCUGCGUGGCAACAGGAUGAUUUUGGUCUUUUUGGCAUUCAAUCUUAUCCCCUCAGGCCCCUGUACAACCCCUGAAGCUACUUGAAGGUUACUAGAGCUCAAGGGAAGGGAUUUGUAUCUCAUUCACUUUCUCUCUCUAGAUUUUUUUCUCUCUCUAAAAGGGAUCAAGGUUUUGAGCUCAUUUUUCUUCUCCUCUUGUGUGUUUGCUGAUUUGGAGGACUUAGAGCAGCUGUGGGGAAGAAGAAAAGUGGUCUUGGGAGAGGGUAUUCGCAGCUCUAGUUCUGUAGGAAGUUGAGUUACAGCUGGGUGAGCCGAUUUUGGGAGGUACUCACCAGAUGUACCAAGGGAUAUUUUGCUAAAUUUCAGCCACCUGGAACUAGAGAAAAGCUGGAAUAAAGUUGUGAUGCAGUUGGGAGGUGGAUUCACAAUAGAUUUUUAUGAACCUUAGGACUGAACUUUGGGUGACCUUUAAAGCUGAUUUAGGGGUACUUCAACCAACUGGAAAGUGGAAUCCAAGUUUGGGAAUUUAAACAACAGGCUCACAACUGGUGUGGGACCUCUUGACUGGGAUUUUGAUGGUCAUUAAAGGGUGCUUGGAGACUUCGAUUUACCUUUGCUUGCUGGUUCAACAGGAUUUGACGUGUAUUGAGCCAUCCACUACGGGAGAGGCUAGGGAUCGCGGCAAGGGGGUCGCAUCUAGGUAGGCAUAGCGUGGAGUCCUGCUAGGUGAUCACCUCGCUAUUCUGAGUUUGCCGACAAGGAGGAUGUGUACCUAUGUAUAGAGAGACUACCAGGUGUUUAUAUAGUUCUUUUGGCGACCCUGAGGUGUAUAUGUAUGGUUAGAGUGAUGUAAUUACAGUUUUAUGUUUCUACUUCUUGUUGAUCUUGGUGA